UCCUUUCUGAUUCCACCUCAUCACAUCCACGCAAGCACGCAUGCAAGCACGCACGCACGCACGCGCGCACACACACACCACUUCCUCAUUACGUCCAGCCUUACUGGCUACCUUGAUACUCCAGGGAUACCCCACACUUUCCCAAUACCUGCUCUGAUUCUUGGGGUUCCUUGGCUCAACAAUCCCGUGUCCAUACACCCUGUACCACCUCCUUACAGACAUGCGGGCAGGUGGGCAGCAGCCCGCCCCGACCUCACGUCUUCCCUUUGUUCUAUGCUUCCCACUGUAAUGGUUAGGCUGCUCUGUCAUCUUGACUGGAUUUAGGAACGCCUAGAAGACACACACCUAGGCAUGUGUAAGAAGGAGUGUCCAGUGGUAGCGCGGCCACCAACGCUAAAGGGCUGCAUUCUCCGCCCCUGUUGAAGGUUUAUUAAGCAAAGUCAGGACCAGCCACACUUCUUCACUGAGAGAGCUUGUGCGUCCCCAGCGUCCCUGGAGGUCAGAAGAGGAUGGUAAUAGAGUUACGGUUGUGGGCUGCCCAGUUCAGUACUGGGAAGUAAACUCCGUCCUCCAAAGAGCUGAAAGCACUCCUCGCAGAGUCAUCUCACCAGCCUCCCUCUGCCCAACAGCAUUUUUACAUAAAUAGAAAUAAUCUAAAAUUCAUAUGAAACCUCAGGAAAUUCUGAGCAGUCAAAACAGUCUUGGAAAAAAGAACAGCUUGAUGCCGUCUCACAUUUUCUAACUUCAAAACUCACUACACAGCUACUUAAGUCAAAACAAAGUAAUGCUGGUGGAAAAGACGGACGGAACAAAGAGAUGGGCACUAGGGACUGGGCAGGAGGAGCCGACCCGGAACCACGUGCGGGUCCCACAGAAGGAAAGGCUCCGGAGAGCCUGGGGAAUCCAGGGUGGAGCUGAAGCGGUGCCCCGUGUAAGCCACAUGUGCUCUGCUCAGCUGCGCUUCCUACACUGUUUUGUGCUGCCCCCUGUUCUUGUCACAAGCCUUCUACCCCUUGUACAGGGAGGAAUGUACAAAGCCCUCGGAAAGCGAGCUGUGAAUCAGGUUCCUGGGGCCACCCUGUGACCUGGGGCAAGGCCCCGUAUCUGUGGUCUAUCGUGAUGGAAACCUGGACCAUGUCACCUGAGAGCAAGUGUACAGCGAAGACAAAGAGGCAGACAGGGAGAGAAAGUAUGUAUGUGUGCGCAUGUGUGUGUGUGUGUGCGCGCGCGUGAGUGUGUG
rnacentral:sRNA from 1 species